rnacentral:rRNA from 1 species
CGGCAUUUCAUUUUAUUAGAGGAACCUGUCUAUUAAUCGAUAAUCCACGAUAUAAUUCACUUUUAUCUAAAUUUUAUAUACCUCCGUACCAGAACUAAUUUUAAAAUUCUAUUCUAAAUAUAUUUUAUAAAAAAAUAGGUAAAGGUGUAGACUAUAUAAAAGAUUAAAUGGGUUACAUUAAAAAAAAUUUAUAGUCAUAAAUAUAAAUAUUUAUAUAAAUAGGAUUUAUAAGUAAUAUAAUAAUAAUAAUCUAAUUUGAAAUAAAAUAAAAAUGUGC